AUUGAACGCUGGCGGCAGGCCUAACACAUGCAAGUCGAGCGAGCGGCGGACGGGUGAGUAAUGUAUGGGGACUGCCCGAUAGAGGGGGAUAACUACUGGCAACGGUGGCUACUACCGCAUACUAUCGGAUAACCCAUAUGGGAUUAGCUCGGAGGUGGGGUAAAGGCUCACCUGGGCGACGAUCUCUAGCUGGUAUGAGAGGAUGAUCAGACACACUGGGAUGGAGACACGGUCCAGACUCCUACGGAGGCAGCAGUGGGGAAUAUUGCACAAUGGGCGCAAGCCUGAUGCAGCCAUGCCGCGUGUAUGAAGAAGGCCUUCGGGUUGUAAAGUACUUUCAGUCGGGAGGCGUUACCGACAGAAGAAGCACCGGCUAACUCCGUGCCAGCAGCCGCGGUAAUAC
rnacentral:rRNA from 1 species